rnacentral:rRNA from 1 species
AUUGAACGCUGGCGGCAGGCUUAACACAUGCAAGUCGAGCGGGGGAAGGUAGCUUGCUACCGGACCUAGCGGCGGACGGGUGAGUAAUGCUUAGGAAUCUGCCUAUUAGUGGGGGACAACAUCUCGAAAGGGAUGCUAAUACCGCAUACGUCCUACGGGAGAAAGCAGGGGAUCUUCGGACCUUGCGCUAAUAGAUGAGCCUAAGUCGGAUUAGCUAGUUGGUGGGGUAAAGGCCUACCAAGGCGACGAUCUGUAGCGGGUCUGAGAGGAUGAUCCGCCACACUGGGACUGAGACACGGCCCAGACUCCUACGGGAGGCAGCAGUGGGGAAUAUUGGACAAUGGGGGGAACCCUGAUCCAGCCAUGCCGCGUGUGUGAAGAAGGCCUUAUGGUUGUAAAGCACUUUAAGCGAGGAGGAGGCUACUUUAGUUAAUACCUAGAGAUAGUGGACGUUACUCGCAGAAUAAGCACCGGCUAACUCUGUGCCAGCAGCCGCGGUAAUACAGAGGGUGCGAGCGUUAAUCGGAUUUACUGGGCGUAAAGCGUGCGUAGGCGGCUUAUUAAGUCGGAUGUGAAAUCCCCGAGCUUAACUUGGGAAUUGCAUUCGAUACUGGUGAGCUAGAGUAUGGG